UACGUAGGGACCGAGCGUUGUCCGGAUUCAUUGGGCGUAAAGAGCUCGUAGGCGGCCACUCAAGUCGAAUGUGAAACCUCGAGGCUUAACCUCGAGCCUGCAUUCGAUACUGGGCGGCUAGAGUCUGGUAGGGGGAUCUGGAAUUCCUGGUGUAGCGGUGGAAUGCGCAGAUAUCAGGAGGAACACCGGUGGCGAAGGCGGGGAUCCUGGGCCAGUACGUGACGCUGAGGAGCGAAAGCGUGGGGAGCA
rnacentral:rRNA from 1 species